CCAGUAUUGAGGUCAAUACUUAGGAAAAUGGGAAAACAUAGUUCAUCAUGUGCAGUUUGUGUCUCAUGUGCGUCGUCAGCUGUUAUCAGAUGCUUCAAAGAGUCGGGCUUCUCUACGAAAGUGUCUUGAAAAGGAGAGAAAGCAACUUCAGCAUUGUGUUAGUCUGCUGUCAUGUUUCUGUGGACGAAGUCACGCAAGAGGACUAUUUGUUGCCUUGGCAUAAUCCUGCAGGGAACAAGGGAGAAACAUUUGCUUUGAAGAAGAAAAUAGUUGAUAUACAUGAACACAUGACCAGGUACAUCGAGGAAUUGCCUGUG